GACGAACCCUGGCGGCGUGCUUAACAAAUGCAAGUCGAACGAUGAUGCCCAGCUUGCUGGGUGGAUUAGUGGCGAACGGGUGAGUAACACGAGAGUAACCUGCCCCUGACUCUGGGAUACGCGUUGGAAACGAAGUCUAAUACUGGAUAUGACUGCCCGACGCAUGGCAUGGUGUGGAAUGCUUUUUUGGCUGGAGAUGGAUUCGUGGCCUAUCAGCUGGUUGGUGAGGUAAUGGCUCACCAAGGCGACGACGGGUAGCCGGCCUGAGAGGGUGACCGGCCACACGGGGCCUGAGACACGGCCCAGACGCCUACGGGGGGCAGCAGUGGGGAAUAUGGCACAAUGGGCGAGAGCCUGAUGAAGCAACGCCGCGUGAGGGAUGACGGCCUUCGGGUUGUAAACCUCUUUUAGUAGGGAAGAAGCGUAAGUGACGGUACCUGCAGAAAAAGCACCGGUUAACUACGUGCCAGCAGCCGCCGUAA
rnacentral:rRNA from 1 species